GCGGAAAUGUUGUCGUGGUAGGCGGGUGAAAUGCAUAGAUAUGACACAGAACGCCGAUUGCGAAGGCAGCUUACUAAGCCAUUACUGACGCUGAGGCACGAAAGCGUGGGGAGCGAACAGGAUUAGAUACCCUGGUAGUCCACGCCGUAAACGAUGUUCACUCGCUGUUUGCGAUACACAGUAAGCGGCUGAGCGAAAGCAUUAAGUGAACCACCUGGGGAGUACGAUCGCAAGGUUGAAACUCAAAGGAAUUGACGGGGGCCCGCACAAGCGGAGGAACAUGUGGUUUAAUUCGAUGAUACGCGAGGAACCUUACCUGGGCUUAAAUGUAGGCUGCAUAGAUUGGAAACAGUCUUUCCCUUCGGGGCUGCUUACAAGGUGCUGCAUGGUUGUCGUCAGCUCGUGCCGUGAGGUGUCGGGUUAAGUCCCAUAACGAGCGCAACCCUUACCGUUAGUUGCCAUCAGGUCAUGCUGGGGACUCUAGCGGGACUGCCACCGUAAGGUGAGAGGAAGGUGGGGAUGACGUCAAAUCAGCACGGCCCUUAUGUCCAGGGCUACACACGUGUUACAAUGGUCGGUACAAAGGGCAGCUACCUGGCAACAGGAUGCUAAUCUCGAAAGCCGAUCCCAGUUCGGAUUGGAGUCUGCAACCCGACUCCAUGAAGUUGGAUUCGCUAGUAAUCGGAUAUCAGCAAUGAUCCGGUGAAUACGUUCCCGGGCCUUGUACACACCGCCCGUCAAACCAUGGGAGCUGGGGGUGCCUGAAGUCUGCGACCGCAAGGAGCGGCCUAGGGUAAAACUAGUGACUGGGGCUAAGUCGUAACAAGGUAACCGUAA
rnacentral:rRNA from 1 species